rnacentral:rRNA from 1 species
GCAGUCGAACGCGUUGGCCCAAUUGAUUGAUGGUGCUUGCACCUGAUUGAUUUUGGUCGCCAACGAGUGGCGGACGGGUGAGUAACACGUAGGUAACCUGCCCAGAAGCGGGGGACAACAUUUGGAAACAGAUGCUAAUACCGCAUAACAGCGUUGUUCGCAUGAACAACGCUUAAAAGAUGGCUUCUCGCUAUCACUUCUGGAUGGACCUGCGGUGCAUUAGCUUGUUGGUGGGGUAACGGCCUACCAAGGCGAUGAUGCAUAGCCGAGUUGAGAGACUGAUCGGCCACAAUGGGACUGAGACACGGCCCAUACUCCUACGGGAGGCAGCAGUAGGGAAUCUUCCACAAUGGGCGCAAGCCUGAUGGAGCAACACCGCGUGAGUGAAGAAGGGUUUCGGCUCGUAAAGCUCUGUUGUUAAAGAAGAACACGUAUGAGAGUAACUGUUCAUACGUUGACGGUAUUUAACCAGAAAGUCACGGCUAACUACGUGCCAGCAGCCGCGGUAAUACGUAGGUGGCAAGCGUUAUCCGGAUUUAUUGGGCGUAAAGAGAGUGCAGGCGGUUUUCUAAGUCUGAUGUGAAAGCCUUCGGCUUAACCGGAGAAGUGCAUCGGAAACUGGAUAACUUGAGUGCAGAAGAGGGUAGUGGAACUCCAUGUGUAGCGGUGGAAUGCGUAGAUAUAUGGAAGAACACCAGUGGCGAAGGCGGCUACCUGGUCUGCAACUGACGCUGAGACUCGAAAGCAUGGGUAGCGAACAGGAUUAGAUACCCUGGUAGUCCAUGCCGUAAACGAUGAGUGCUAGGUGUUGGAGGGUUUCCGCCCUUCAGUGCCGGAGCUAACGCAUUAAGCACUCCGCCUGGGGAGUACGACCGCAAGGUUGAAACUCAAAGGAAUUGACGGGGGCCCGCACAAGCGGUGGAGCAUGUGGUUUAAUUCGAAGCUACGCGAAGAACCUUACCAGGUCUUGACAUCUUGCGCCAACCCUAGAGAUAGGGCGUUUCCUUCGGGAACGCAAUGACAGGUGGUGCAUGGUCGUCGUCAGCUCGUGUCGUGAGAUGUUGGGUUAAGUCCCGCAACGAGCGCAACCCUUGUUACUAGUUGCCAGCAUUAAGUUGGGCACUCUAGUGAGACUGCCGGUGACAAACCGGAGGAAGGUGGGGACGACGUCAGAUCAUCAUGCCCCUUAUGACCUGGGCUACACACGUGCUACAAUGGACGGUACAACGAGUCGCGAACUCGCGAGGGCAAGCAAAUCUCUUAAAACCGUUCUCAGUUCGGACUGCAGGCUGCAACUCGCCUGCACGAAGUCGGAAUCGCUAGUAAUCGCGGAUCAGCAUGCCGCGGUGAAUACGUUCCCGGGCCUUGUACACACCGCCCGUCACACCAUGAGAGUUUGUAACACCCAAAGUCGGUGGGGUAACCUUUAGGAGCCAGCC